rnacentral:lncRNA from 1 species
UUUCUUUCAUGAGAUGUCAUGGCUGGUGAGAGUUCCACUAAUUUUAUGCCCAAAAAAGGGUAAUUGGGAUAUUUAUCAAUUUGAAGAGGGAGGAGGUAGCAGGUACCCUUGAUGAUUUGGUCCCUGGACCAGGCAGAGCUGAAAACACAAGUGUCCCCUGGUGUCCAAGUAGAAGACCACACAUCUCCAAGGAGCUCAGUCCUCUAUUGGCAGCUUGGCUUCUAGGGGAAUGCUCAGAAAGUCUCCACAUGCUGUUUCUUCCUCUAAAGGCUGUUGAUGGCAUCAUGGUGAAUAACCACGGCUUGCUUCAUGCUGUUUUGCUUUCAAGUCUGAAAACUUCAUAUGAGAACCUCAGCCUGAAUCAUGUCGCUCCAGGUAAUCUGGAUACCAAGAACCAAACAAAACAGACUGAAUAUAAGCAGCCGGAACCGUCAUCGGUUUUAUUUGCCUUCACCUGCUCUCAGGGAGACAUGACUUUGCAGUGAUUGACUGCAGUUUCAUAUUUACAGAAAUGGACUGGAGACAGAAAUCAUCCUCAGGCCUUCAUCCCAGGAAAAUCAGAAAAACAACUUCUUCUAAAUCCAUUAACAGGUUUCCUAUGCUGUCAGUUGCUCUAGAGGAGUUCUCAGUCUGCUUAGAGGAGAACCAGGCACAGUGCGCUGCAGUGGCCACGCUGGUAGCUGUGGUCACAGGGCAUCCCCUCACCAGCUACAGUCACAACUUUUCCAUUAAGAGCACAUACUGCCUGAUCCUUGGGAAAGACCUGCUGAAAUACUCCCAGCUCUGUACAGUUUCUGAAAUGGAGCUGCUAUAAUGUACUUGACCAUUGAGAACCUGGAAAGGUUGUCUUCUAUUCACAACCAAGCUUGCUGGGCACAAUGGAAUCACUAUUUCAGAGGUAAGAGAAUGAUUUCAUCCCUACCAUGGCCUCACUAGAUGCCUAGACUGUGGUUCCUUGAUGACACACUUUUAUGAUUUUCUAACUGUAUUUGAAGCAGUUUCAGUGGUGACAUAUAAUAACAACUUAUUAAUUCUUUGAGGCAUGACGGGCAAGUCCUUCUUUACAUCCUAAAAUGUAGAUUAGAAAACCUAGAGCAUUGUUUCUGGACAAAGAAGGAAUUCAGGAACCUGGCGUACAUUGCAUGACUCCACUUUUGUUGCAACCUGUAUUUUAUUUUCCAUGCAGGGAUAUGCCUUACUUAAGAAUAAAGGUCAUAGAUGAAUAAUCCUGCUUGUUCGC